AUUGAACGCUGGCGGCAGGCCUAACACAUGCAAGUCGAACGAGUGGCGGACGGGUGAGUAAUGCCUAGGAAUCUGCCUGGUAGUGGGGGAUAACGUCCGGAAACGGGCGCUAAUACCGCAUACCAUCGGAUGUGCCCAGAUGGGAUUAGCUUGUAGGUGAGGUAACGGCUCACCUAGGCGACGAUCCCUAGCUGGUCUGAGAGGAUGACCAGCCAAACUGGAACGGAGACACGGUCCAGACUCCUACGGGAGGCAGCAGUGGGGAAUAUUGCACAAUGGGCGCAAGCCUGAUGCAGCCAUGCCGCGUGUAUGAAGAAGGCCUUCGGGUUGUAAAGUACUUUCAGCGGGGAGGCGUUACCCGCAGAAGAAGCACCGGCUAACUCCGUGCCAGCAGCCGCGGUAAUUC
rnacentral:rRNA from 1 species